rnacentral:lncRNA from 1 species
AUGGCCUCUGACCUAGACUUCUCACCUCUGGAGGUGCCUGAGCCCACUUUCCUGGAGAACCUGCUAUGGUACGGACUCUUCCUGGGAGCCAUCUUCCAGCUCAUCUGUGUGCUGGCCAUCAUCAUACCCAUUCCCAAGUUCCACGAGGUGGAGGCUGAACCAUCUGAGCUCAGAAGUGCUGAGGUGACGAGGAAGCCCAAGGCUACUGUUCCUUCUGUGAACAAGAGGCCCAAGAAAGAGACCAAGAAGAAGCGG